GAUAUUGGGCAAUGGGGGCAACCCUGACCCAGCCAUGCCGCGUGAGGGAAUGAGGCCCUACGGGUCGUGAACCUCUUUUGACCGGGGACAAUGUCCCGCACGAGAUGCGGGAUUGAGGGUACCGGUGGAAUAAGCAUCGGCUAACUCCGUGCCAGCAGCCGCGGUAAUACGGAGGAUGCGAGCGUUAUCCGGAUUCAUUGGGUUUAAAGGGUGCGCAGGCGGCGGCGUAAGUCAGCGGUGAAAUCCCGGGGCCCAACCCCGGAAGUGCCGAUGAUACUGCGUCGCUGGAAUGCGGUCGAGGCGGGCGGAACGUGGCGUGUAGCGGUGAAAUGCGUAGAUAUGCCACAGAACGCCGGUAGCGGAGGCGGCUCGCCAGGCCUGCAUUGACGCUCGGGCACGAAAGCGUGGGGAUCGAACAGG
rnacentral:rRNA from 1 species